rnacentral:rRNA from 1 species
GCAUCGAUGAAGAACGCAGCGAAAUGCGAUAAGUAAUGUGAAUUGCAGAAUUCAGUGAAUCAUCGAAUCUUUGAACGCACCUUGCGCUCCUUGGUAUUCCGAGGAGCAUGCCUGUUUGAGUGUCAUGGAAUCAUCAACUCUAUUUACUUUUGUGAAU